rnacentral:rRNA from 1 species
GACGUAGGGUGCGAGCGUUGUCCGGAUUUAUUGGGCGUAAAGAGCUCGUAGGCGGCUUGUCACGUCGGGUGUGAAAGCCCGGGGCUUAACCCCGGGUCUGCAUUCGAUACGGGCUAGCUAGAGUGUGGUAGGGGAGAUCGGAAUUCCUGGUGUAGCGGUGAAAUGCGCAGAUAUCAGGAGGAACACCGGUGGCGAAGGCGGAUCUCUGGGCCAUUACUGACGCUGAGGAGCGAAAGCGUGGGGAGCGAACAGG